rnacentral:lncRNA from 1 species
CUACUUCCAUAGAUGCAAGGUCAGCACAGGCUUUGAGAGCGGCGACGUAAGUCAGUUGAUUUGGUGCCCAGGUGACGUCUUCGGCAGCUAGCAUCCGUUCGAACAGUUUCAUAGCAAGCUCGGGCUCUCUGCUUUCAGCGUAGCUGAGGACCAUGGCCGUCCAGAUCGUCGGAUCUCUCCUCGUCUUGGUCCUCUCGAAGAGCCUCCGAGCAUCUACAACGCUUCCAAGUUUGGCAUACAGAUCGAUCAACGAGCUCGCAACGUGGACAUGCAAGUCAAGGCCACAUCUCUCGGCUUGCCAGUGGAUUUCUACGACUUUGUCGAACAGGAACUUGCUACUACCGGCGGAGUGUUUCCUCGUCAAUCCCAGGCAGGCCUUGAGAGCGGCCGCAAAGCUCAGAGCAUCUGCAGUGACGCCGGAGGCUUGCAUCCUGGAAAAGAUUUUCAAGGCCACCUCUUCUUCGCCAUUGUCCGCAUGUCCGAGCACGAGGGCAGUCCAGGAAACAACGUCGGGACAAGCCAUUUCCUGGAAAACAGCUCGGGCAUUCUCCAAGCUUCCACACUUGGAGUACAUGUCCACCAGAGUAUUGGCGACGAACUUGUCCGAGACGAAGCCGAGCUUGGCAGCUCGAGAGUGGACAUCCAUGCCUUUGCCGAGAGACUGGAGCUUCACCAAUCUUCCAUCGACAAGGCGACUGUGCUCCUUCUCGGCCAGACAGGCACAGGCUUUGAGAGCAGCGACGAAGACUCGGGCAUCCAGGCAAGGAGCUGCGUCUCCUUGCGCUAGCAGGCACUCGAAGAGCUUGAGGCCGAGCUCUCCAUCGCCUCGGUCGACAUAGCCGAGGAUGAGAGACGUCCAGGACGCAGCAGUCCGGAAGAUCAUCCGGCCAAACACUGCUCGAGCUUCUUCCAAGCUCCCGGAUUUGGCAUACAUGCUCACGAGCGUGUUGGCUACAUACUUGUUGGUGGAAUCAUCCCCGGCUUCUCGUGAGGCGUCGUCGUGGAUCUUCGUGCCGGUUUGGAGAUCGCCCAAGAGACCGCAUGCUUGAAGCGCGGCGACCACUAAGGAAAUGCGUACCUUCUUUGGGUGCUUGGCGAAGAACUUGGGAUUGCCGUGGAAGACCCACUCAGCCCGCGUCUGUAGCUUGGACAAGCGCUUACAAGUCAUUCAUAUCUUUAUUAUGUUAAAACCUUAUAGCAAUGGCAAUGGUAAAUCAAUGAAAGGAGCUGGGCCUGGUGCUACUGUUGGUGGUGCUGGUGGCGUUGGUGCUAGUGGUGUGGUUGUGUUGGUGAAAGUGCCUGGUGGUGGUGGUGGUAAAAGUGAAGGUGUGUCAGUGAAAGUGAAGGUGAUAGUGGUGUAACUGGUGGACGAAGUGUUUUUGGAGGUGGUGGCGGUGUGUAGGUGAAAGUGAAGGUGCAAAUAGUGGUGGUGGCGGUGUGGGUGAAAGUGAAGGUGAUAGUGGUGCUGGUGCUGGUGUAACUGGUGGGGUGGUGGCGGUGGUGUUUUUGGUGGUGGUGUAGGUGAAAGUGAAGGUGCCAAUUGUGGUGGCGCUUCAAGUAGUGGUGUUAGUGGUGGUGGUGUUUUUGGCAGAGGCAAUGGCAGUGUUCUUGGUGGUGGUGGUGGUGGUGUGUUGGUGGUGGUGAACAAUCACUUUUUGGAGUAAAAUAAUAAUGUUCAGAAGUGUACCUGUUGUUUCCAUUGUUGGAGUGGCCACUGGACCCUCAUUCAUGUUUGUUAAGAAGGUACAGUCCCAGGGUAAUAGGGCCUUCUACUCCCAUCCACACUCAUUCUGCAUCUUUAUUAAUUCCAAGAUAUCAAAGAACCCUCUACUAUUUGUAAAUGAUGAAUCACUGUCUUGCGGACAAACAAGAUUUAGCUUGGGACCUAAAAGGAUCAGGAUGAGAUAAUUUUUUCUUACCCAAAAAGACCCAUUAUGAGAGAAUGAACCACAACUGGUACAAUAAACAUAGCUUUCCACUUUGAUCAGUGUAGUGGCAUCACAAAAAUUCUGAAUAGAAUUAAGUAGAAAAUCUUCAUACUUACAUGAUAAUAAUGAGGUAAAAGAUUGUCCUUAUAUAAUAAAUAUCUUGCACUGCAUUUAGUCAAACAUUAAGGUAAAACUAAAAAGUUUCUAGUUGAAUAACAUUUUUUUUAAAACCCAGUGAUCUUCUAAAUAUUUUGUUUCAUUUUUUAUAUAUUGUCCUAAUUUAUUUCCAACAUAAAAAAUUUACUUUUGUUAUUUUUAUUUUACUUCCAUCAUGCCUAUAAUUUGUAGUUUGAUAUUUCAGUGUUAAUAUUAUAACUGAGCCUUUAACCUUUAACCUUUGUGUUUUACUGGUAGAAUAUUCUUAGAAUACCUUACAAGUCAAUAAUCUUUUUCUAUUUUGUUAGAUUGGUUAUGAACUUAUGAGGUGCUGGGCCUGGUGCUGAUGUUGGUAAUUGUGCUGAUGCUAGUGGUGGCGGUGUUCACGGGUUCCUUCUAGCUGCUGCUUCGUCUUGACUACUUCCAUAGAUGCAAGGUCAGCACAGCCUUUGAGAGCAGCGAUGCAAGUCAAGUGAUUUGGUGCACAGGUGACGUCUUUGGCAGCUAGCAUCCAUUCGAACAGUUUCACAGCGAGCUCGGGCUCUCUGCUUUCAGUGUAGCUGAGGACCAUGGCCGUCCAGAUCGCCGGAUCUCUCCGCGUCUUGGUCCUCUUGAAGAGCCUCUGAGCAUCUAUAAGGCUUCCAAGUUUGGCAUACAGAUUGAUCAACGAGCUCACAACGUGGACAUGCAAGUCAAGACCAGAUCUCUCGGCCUGGCAGUGGAUUUCUGCGACUUUGUCGAGCAGGAACUUGCUACUACCAGCAGAGUGUUUCCUCGUCAAUCCCAGGCAGGCCAGUGGCCGCAAAGCUCAGAGCAUCUGCAGUGACGCUUGAGUCUUGCCUCCUGGAAAAAAAUUUCAAGGCCAGCUCUUCUUUGACAUUGUCCACAUGGCUGAGCACGAGGGCAGUCCAGGAAACAACGCUGGGGCAAGCCAUUUCCUGGAAAACAGCUCGGCAAAAGCCAUAGCUUGGGCAAGCGCUUAUAAAUCAUACAUGUCUUUAUUAUGUUAAAACUGAUUACUUGAGUGGAUGGUGAUGGUGUGAGAGCAAUAAAGAUCAAAGAAGGGAUUUGGGUCUAGUGAUUGAGUGGUGGUGCUAAAAUUGGUGUGGUGGUGGCUGAAUUGGAGGUGAUAGUGGUGCCAGUGCUAGUGUAGCUGGUGGAGGUGUUCUUCUUGGCAGUGGUGGUGGUGGUGUUUUAAGUGGUGGUGUUAGUGCAAUUGGAGGUGAUAGUGGUGCUAAUGCUGGUGUAACUGAUGGAUUUUCUGUGGUGUUUGUGAAAUUGGAGGUCAUAAUAGUGUUAGUGCUAGUGUAACUAGUGGAGGAGGUGUUCAUGGUGGUGGUGGU